CAACCAUCAAGCCCCCGGCUUGUGUUGGGGGCCUGCGGCUGCCGCAGGCCCUGAAAACCAGUGGCGGGCUCGCUGUCACUCCGAGCGUAGUAGUUUACAUCUCGCUCAGGGCGUGCUGCGGGUUCCGGCCGUUAAAAGCCUUAUUUUACCCCAA
rnacentral:misc_RNA from 1 species